rnacentral:rRNA from 1 species
AUUGAACGCUGGCGGCAGGCCUAACACAUGCAAGUCGAGCGGUAGAGAGGUGCUUGCACCUCUUGAGAGCGGCGGACGGGUGAGUAAUACCUAGGAAUCUGCCUGGUAGUGGGGGAUAACGUUCGGAAACGGACGCUAAUACCGCAUACGUCCUACGGGAGAAAGCAGGGGACCUUCGGGCCUUGCGCUAUCAGAUGAGCCUAGGUCGGAUUAGCUAGUUGGUGAGGUAAUGGCUCACCAAGGCUACGAUCCGUAACUGGUCUGAGAGGAUGAUCAGUCACACUGGAACUGAGACACGGUCCAGACUCCUACGGGAGGCAGCAGUGGGGAAUAUUGGACAAUGGGCGAAAGCCUGAUCCAGCCAUGCCGCGUGUGUGAAGAAGGUCUUCGGAUUGUAAAGCACUUUAAGUUGGGAGGAAGGGCAUUAACCUAAUACGUUAGUGUUUUGACGUUACCGACAGAAUAAGCACCGGCUAACUCUGUGCCAGCAGCCGCGGUAAU